UAUGGCAAAAGUGGAAUGAAAAUAAGGUGUUGGAGAUAAUGGAUUCGACGUUGGCCGAGUCAUAUAAUAUACAAGAAUUGAUGAGAUGCAUCCAUAUAGGGCUUCUUUGUGUGCAAGACCAUGCCCAUGAUAGGCCAACCAUGUCUGCAAUAGUUUUCAUGCUUGGUAGUGAGGGAACUCUUCCUCUUCCGAAGCAACCUAUGUUUGCUAUAGACAAGACACAGUUGUCUGGCGUUCUAUCUAAUAGCAAUGAUGCAAUAUCUAUAAAUUCUGUUACCAUCACAAAUCUCGAAGGACGAUAACUUAUUGAGUGGUGUGGAAUAUUCUUCAGAUGAAAGCAAUGUGUUAUGACAACUAGUCUGUUGGAAAUCAAUAUAAGGGUCUUACUUGUACAUUCUCAAAUUAUAUAAUGUAUUUAAAUUCGGAAAAGCAAGUUUCAUUUAAAUUAUCACAUACAUAAUCAAACUUCUUGUUGAAGAUCCCACUGAUGAGACCUAGCUCGUGCGCCGGCAUGUGAAGAUUUAAGGCACAUGUAUUUUUGUGCAAGAACCACUUAUUCUUUGAACGCCCAAGGACUCAAUUCAAGGCUGUUGUCCUGCUCAUAUCUAGCUAGUACUCAGAAUAGAUGCAGAUUUUAAUGUCACAAAACUGGUCCGGUGACUUUUGCUCUCUGGCCUCUUCUACCAAAGUUUAGCACAGGAAUGAGUGCAGGUUCAAUUACCUAGAGACGGCAGUGCUGUUGCAGUCCUGUAGCUUGAGAGAUGUACACUGUACUGUUACUUAUUUUAGUAACUUCGGCGCAUGUAGCAAAGAAACUAAGAAAGGUAUCCAUUUCCAUUUUAUCCCAUUUGCUUAUUAUUAUUGCUUUCGUUACUAUUAUUAUUUGCAUGAAAUUGCUGUGAUUGCAAAUAAUCAACAAACAUUAUUGUUAUUGUCAUCUUGCUCAUCUCCAAUGCUAAAAUAUGCACAAGUUGACAUAAGAAAAAUAAAAAAAGCAAUGUCCUUUCUGUUGUUUGUUUUUCUCUCCUGCUCCUCACAGCCUACCUCCUUUCUAUGCGACGAAUUGAAUGGUUUAUUCCUAUUUUUCCCCUAAUGUAAAUGCAAACAUGUAUAUUGGGAAGAAUAUCUCCAUUAGAACUGUAGCUUUACAAAAGGGGUAUGGGAAGAACUGUUAACUGUCAAAACUGCUGCUAUGGAGGCCCUUCAGUCAUGGAGUACUGCAAGAGAGAUGCUCGAAAGCUGGACAGACCUGAAUUCGAGACGGGUGGCACAUGCUAUAUAGAAAAUUUUACCUUAUGCUCUUUUGUGGUGCACAUGGAAGAUGAGAAAUGAAGCAGUUUUUAAUGGGGUAAUAGUGAACAGAAACAAACUAAUCAGGCACGUCAAGGGCACAAUUUGGUUAUGGCUUAAUAUUAGAAAGAAAAGUCUGGAGUGCAGGCAGGAUAUUUCCUUCAGAGAACUGCUGUUGGACUGGGAAGGGAUUAUGGCAGAACAGUGGUGAAGCAUUCUUACAUGUAUAUGGAAAAUUUUACCUUAUGCUCUUUUGUGGUGCACAUGGAAGAUAGAAAUGAAGCAGUUUUUAAUGGGGUAAUAGUGAACAGAAACAAACUAAUCAGGCACGUCAAGGGCACAAUUUGGUUAUGGCUUAAUAUUAGAAAGAAAAGUCUGGAGUGCAGGCAGGAUAUUUCCUUCAGAGAACUGCUGUUGGACUGGGAAGGGAUUAUGGCAGAACAGUGGUGAAGCAUUCUUACAUGUAUGGGUCACUGCAGGCUGGUGUAUGGAUGUUUAUACUAGGUUACAUUCAUUUGUAGUUUUCUAUGUAAAGUUGGGAGUUUCAAGCCUAUGAAUAGGCCUUGUGUAAGAGGUGCAUGUAUUUUCUGGGAUACCUGGUGAUGCUCGGAUUAGGAGUGUGGUGCUCAGGAAAAAUGAUUGAGGAUGUGCUGAACUGCUGAACAGGUGGUCCAGGGUUAUGCAUGAACAGGGAAUCAGGGAUAGCUGGUGGUUUUAUGUUUGUAUGGCUGCGGGUUUCUGUAAGAGUAUCCUGAUCUGUUUGCCUGGCCUGAGUCUGUUAAGUCCUUUGUGUUGUCUGUAUGCUGCAGUAGCAAGGUGUCUGUAAGUCUGGUCUGGGAUAUCGCUCCCAUGGUCUUUCACCUGACGAUAUACAGUGUUUUGUAUAUACUGAUCAGGUUUGUAUCAGAUUUUAUUUGGUUGAUUAAUAAAUUCAUACUUUUAUCAAAAAAACAAAAAAAAUCUCCAUUAGAAAAGUUUAAUGACCACUAGAAGAUUGUGUGCUAUGAAGUUGUAACUCUUGAUAAAUUGGUCCCAAAGUCUGUAGUAGUUACUAUCAUAUGACCUUGCACAGCCUCAUAAGGCUAUGAAGGUUUAGUUUGGAACCAAUGUUUUACAGCUAUUUAUAUGUAAAAUGAAUUUGUAUACCAUAGAAUUGUUUCCUUAAGAUAAAACUGCAUUACUGUUUGUAAGAAAAAAAAAGGUUCUUACAAUAAAAAAAUCUUGGAAAUCCUUUAUAUCAAUUAAGAUAUUCUGAAGUCUGUGAAACCGACAUUUGGUUUCAUGGUUUGACAUCAUUUCAUGUUUGUGUCAUCGGCUAUCUCGCUCGGACUUCAUUGUUAGGUUGAACCUUGGUAUGUGUCUCAUUCCUUAUUCUUUUCUCUAUCAUCUUGUGUCUUAGGUUGCUUAGUUUUUCAAUCUGUCAAGAUUUGGUUCGGACGUAACACUUUGGUUCAGACGAAAUUCUUCCAGAUCUUUUAUUUGUGCAGAAACUGGUAUUUGGUUCGGACGAAACCUUUAGGUUCGAACGAAAUUCUUCUAGCAAGUUGUUUCGUCCUUUGGACUUGUUUUUAGUUCUAGAAUCCAUAUAAAUAGGUUUUCUCUCAUUAGAAAACCUAACUCUCUAGCCAUCUCUUCCUCUAUUGAGAGUGUUUGUUUGUUAAGGGAAAAACUCAUCUUCUUCUUCUCAAUCUUCUUCUUCUUGAUUCUUUCUUCUCUCAUUAUAAUCCAUAUUUCUUUGUGAGUGCAUAUUAGCUUCGCGAUCUCCUUGUGUGACUGUGUGACUAUCAAGAGAUACUAAAGGAGCAAUCUAUACUUUGUACACUUUGAGAUCUUUGUGUGUACAUCAAGGUUCUCCGAUGAAAUCCACGGGUGUUAGAGAUAGCCGGUAUUGUCAAGUAGCAGGUGUAUGCAGUAGUACUUGAUAGGUUUGUAAUCUCUUGCAACAUAGUGGAUUGAUUUGUUACAGAUCGAGGUAACCGUGGACGUUUCCCAGUUUGGGUUUUACCACGUUAAAAUCUCUGGUGUUCUUUAUCAUUCUUCUUGUUUUAUUUACUGUUUAUUAUUCUAUUAUAUUGCACUUGUUUGGUGUUUCAAUUGGUAUCAGUCGCAGGGCGCUUGUUAUGGAGUGUAAUGGCUCACGCGUAGAUCCUUUAAGUGCAACAAUAAUGACUAAAGCUAAAUCUUCUUUCUCUCCAGAUAGAUUUUUUAAUAAUUCUAAUAAAUUUUGUUUUGAAGAUACUGUUGUUUUGCAGAAUAUGAUUGAUUCUUUAGAACAAAGACUCAGAUCUUGUGCAGAAGAUUACUUACUUCAAGGGGAAGUUUAUGAAUCUAAAAUUGAAAAAUUGGAAAAGGUUAAUCUUACUUUGCAGGAUAAAGUUGAGACUCUUGAAAAACAAAUUCUUUCUGCUGCAGAUGAUGCAAUUUCUAUUUCUCCAUUAUUUGAAAAAGAAAAACUUAAUUUGUUGUGUAGAAUUACAGAUCUGGAGAAAGCUAAUCAUGAAGGUGAAAAGAGAUAUAAAUCUCUUUUAGUUGAGUCUGAGGUAACAAAGAACGAUUUAACGUCUACUCAACUCAAAUUGCAGGUUUUGGACAAAACUAGAUUUGACUCUCCUAUUGUUGGUUCUAGUAGUCCAUCUGAUGUGAAUAUUUUUGUAAAAUCUAGUUUGCCCGCCCUAUUGCCUACACCACCUAUUGAGACUAGACUUAAUGCUAAUAAUUUUAAGCAUGUUUCGGGUAUAAAAUUUAAAUCCAAAUCUAUUGGUAAGGCUGGUUUUGAUGGUAAGUCUUCGUGUUCUCAUAGUGGAAGUAGCGGUCACAUUAAGGCACAAUGUCAUAAACCAAAUAGUGACAUACAUGGUUUACCCACUACUACUACUACAUCUUCUUAUAAGACUUGUUUGAGAAAGUCUAAUACUUUUCAUUGUUCUUAUUGUGGUAGAGAUGGUCAUUUGGAUAUCUUUUGUUGGGAUUUUAAUCAACAUGUUAAAUGUUAUUCUCGUGUUUCUUAUAAUUAUAAUCAUGUUGAUUUUUAUGUUCCUUCUUGUGCGUUUUCUAAACCUUUGAAUUCUAAUAUUUUUUGUCAAAGGUUUAAGAAAAACAGGUACUCCAACAAAAGGAAGUCAAAAACUAGGGUGGAGUUAGUUAAGGACAAGUCUCUUGCAAAGCUUAGUAAGAGGAAAUCUCAUAUCGUUUCUAUACCCAAAAUGAGUACGCCGAGUAUCAAACAAGUAUGGGUAAGAAAAGAUAGGUUGAAAGUUUUUCUAGACUUGCAAAAAUCUGGCGGUGUCCCAUUUUUGGGAUGAUGAGAUUUGUUUUCUAGCCUUGUAUUAUUUUAAUUGCAUAUUUUUUCACCAUAUAGGCUCUUUGUUGGUUGUUUUUGUCUUUCUGUUUAUGCAUGUUUGUUUUAAACAUAUCAAUAAAAAAUAGGGGUUGUUGGUCUUCUUUUCUAGUAUUUUUCUUCUCUAUUUUCUUUCAUUUAUUCCAUGUUUGUGUUGUUGGAUGCAUCUUUUCUGAGAUAUUGGUUAAAUUCAAUUGUCUUAAAUAAGUUCCAAUAUGUUUGGGCGUUUUUUCUUUCUGAACUCUAAGUAUGUUUUGGUAUGUAUCAUGCAUUUUUCCUCGCUUGUUUUCACAAUGCACAACAUGUUUGCAUUAUGGGAGUUUUUGUAAGCCACUUACAUAUUCUUUGAGCUCAUAAAUUUUUUCUCUCUUUUGAAUCUUUCAUGCUAUCUUGAGCUCUCUAUCUCUCUUUUGUUAAUGUUUAUCAUGUUGCUCGUAUUGUUGAACUUUCUUAUCUUCCUUCUUCAACUCUUGAUAGUGGUCAAUGACUCACUUAUCCCCAGCCGUCUUUAGAGCAUUAUCAGUUGGCUAAGAACCCGUUGGGGUUGUGAGGGUCAUGCUUUGACGGAUGCACUCAAGAGAUGUUAGUUCUUGUGUUGCACAUUAUCAUGGUAUUACACUUCUUGAGUUUGUGUUUGUCAAAAAGAUGUAGGCUACACCCUACCCUCGUGUAUAUGAAAAGAUGGAGGUAAUUAUCCCUCCCACACGGGAAUGACAUUGAAAAGAUGUGGACUACACUCCACCACAUGUGGCAAAAUGAAAUUCAGAGCGCAUGUUCUUUGUUUUUGUGUAAGGCAUUAAAAGUUUUUUCCUUUGCCUUUUAAUUAUAUUUUCUUUCGUUUGGAAGAUCAUAUCUAGAUUCUUUCAUUUGCCUUCUUCUCAUGGCGUUUGAGUUCGUUUCCUAAGUUCGUUUAUUAAUCGUUCAUCUCUUGUUAAUGGUUAUUUGUUCUAGGAGUUCCAAGGGUGUGUUCUAGUGGUGUACUUUCUCUCUCUCGUUAUGCAUUGCAUUCCAUAUUCACACACUGAGGUUGAGUUUAUGAUGCACUUCAAUUCUCUUAGUUGUUUAAUCUUUUGUUUAUCCUCCUAUAUUGCCUCUUAUUUUUUGUAUGGAUUGGGUUUGGCUAAUGUUUUGGAAUAUCAUGAUGUCUUCCUCUUCAUUGAUAUGGUACAUCGGUUAUUUUUUUUCUUUACCAUCUUGUUAAGGGUUGUGAAGUUGUUUUUAUUUAAAGAGUUUGUUUGUUAAGGUAUUUUCUUAUUGUCUCGUGGAUGGGUGUAAGUUCGUGGUUUACUUUAUCUUAAUUGGUAGAGUAUGUUUCUACUUUUGUUGGGUAUUUUGCUUCUUCUUAUGUUGUCAUGGAUUUGUUAUUCAUGGUAUGGUGUUUCUUUCGUUCUCUAGUUAGUUUGGUUUUUCACUUUUUGUCACCUAUUUGCAUCAUUUGUGACAAAAAGGGGGAGAGUUUAUAUGACUCUAAAAACUAACAUGCUUUUUUUUCUCCGUUAGUAUAUUUUGGGUUGUGUUUCAGGUGUGCUACACUUGUGGGGGAGAAAAAGAAUUGGAGUUUGGAGUUCAUGUGUUGAGGGGGAGUUGUUCAUAAAGGAUUAUCAUAUUAAAGCUUUCGUUGAUUCUCUGAUAUGGUUUCUUACUUAAAGCUUCCGCACUACCUCUGAUUGAUAAAAGUUUUGGGUUUGAUUUUCUACUUCAUCUCUUUGAUUGUUCAGUUGUCAUUGAAACUUAUGUUGGUGUUCUUGAAGAUUGGUUCUUGAAAGUUUUCAUGUUUGGUGAAGGUUUAAGUGUAAUGAUGUAAGCAUGAUCUAUAAAUGCUAGUGAGGUUUGUUUUGGAUUUUGUAAGCACGUAUUAUAAGUGCAUUUAGAGUCAUAGGUUAUUGUCACGAAAUGAAUGUCAAAUGGGGAGAUUGAAACCGACAUUUGGUUUCAUGGUUUGACAUCAUUUCGUGUUUGUGUCAUCGGCUAUCUCGCUCGGACUUCAUUGUUAGGUUGAACCUUGGUAUGUGUCUCAUUCCUUAUUCCUUUCUCUAUCAUCUUGUGUCUUAGGUUGCUUAGUUUUCAAUCUGUCAAGAUUUGGUUCGGACGUAACACUUUGGUUCAGACGAAAUUCUUCCAGAUAUUUUAUUUGUGCAGAAACUGGUAUUUGGUUCGGACGAAACCUUUAGGUUUGAACGAAAUUCUUCCAGCAAGUUGUUUCGUCCUUUGGACUUGUUUUUAGUUCUAGAGUCCAUAUAAAUAGGUUUUCUCUCAUUAGAAAACCUAACUCUCUAGCCGUCUCUUCCUCUAUUGAGAGUGUUUGUUUGUUAAGGGAAAAACUCAUCUUCUUCUUCUCAAUCUUCUUCUUCUUGAUUCUUUCUUCUCUCAUUAUAAUCCAUAUUUCUUUGUGAGUGCAUAUUGGCUUCGCGAUCUCCUUGUGUGACUGUGUGACUAUCAAGGGAUACUAAAGGAGCAAUCUAUACUUUGUACGCUUUGAGAUCUUUGUGUGUUCAUCAAGGUUCUUCGGUGAAAUCCAAGGGUGUUAGAGAUAGCCGGUAUUGUCAAGUAGCAAGUGUAUGCAGUAGUACUUGAUAGGUUUGUAAUCUCUUGCAAAUAGUGGAUUGAUUUGUUACCGAUCGAGGUAACCGUGGACGUUCCCAGUUUGGGUUUUACCACGUUAAAAUCUCGGUGUUCUUUAUCAUUCUUCUUAUUUUAUUUACUAUUUGUUAUUCUAUUAUAUUGCACUUGUUUGGGGUUUCAGUCUGAACAUCUAAAACCAAUGAGUGAUUCACAUGGUUUUACAGUUUAUGAGGUGUUCAACAAAGACUGCUGAAUAUUUUGUGUGGUUGUUCUUUAACAAGACGUAGACAUUGUGCUUCCAAAUUCUACUACUUUGUUUUGAAAAUGAAAAGUCUUGGUAGAAUUGUUUCUAUUUGUAAUAAGGAACUUGUUCAUACUAAUUGUGCAGGUAAGAGAAGAGAUGAAUUCAAGAAGCCAAACAUGGUUGUUUCUCUUAUCAGUUAUCUUCUUCUACUACUACUCUACUUCCCAAACUCAUUUUUGCUUUGCAGCUGAUACCAUUUCUUCAGGUCAGUCUCUCACUUUAAAUCAAACUCUGAUCUCUAAUAGUGGUACGUUUGAACUUGGAUACUUUACACCAGGUAAUUCUCGUAACUACUACAUAGGAAUCUGGUACAAGAAAGUUUCUGUCCAAAACAAAACUGUUGUUUGGGUUGCAAACAGAGACACUCCUCUUACUGAUUCAAAUUCCUCAGAAUUUAAGCUCUUAGAAAAUGGUAAUUUAGUUCUGUUAAACCUGUCAAAACUCGCAAUUUGGUCCACUGAGUCGAAAUCAAAUGUGAAUCUUUCAUAUGAAGGAGUGCUUGGGGAUGAUGGAAAUUUUGUUUUAAGAACUGGGGUUAGACCAUCUGAUGUUUUUUGGCAGAGUUUUGAUUACCCGACUGAUACAUUUUUGCCAGGUGCAAAAAUUGGAUAUAAUAGAAUAACCAACAAACAACUGUCACUUACUUCUUGGAAAAAUUCAAAUGAUCCUGCAAGGGGAUUAUAUUCACUGGAGCUCGACCGGUCUGUAGAUCAGUACUUUAUCCAAUCGAAUCUGAAUCGGUAUUGGAAUAGUGGGGAAUGGAAUGGACGAAGCUUCAGCUUAAUUCCUGAAAUGACAUUAAAUUCAAAUUUUAAUUUUAGCUUUGUCGAGAAUGAAAACGAGAGUUACUUCACCUCUAGUGCAGACACGACUUCUAGUACUCUUUCUAGACUUGUUAUGGAUUCUUCGGGGCAAUUCAACCAAUUUUCAUGGGUCGGAGACGCCCAAGCAUGGUUCUCGCUUUGGUCUCAACCAAGACAACAAUGUGAGGUUUACAGAUAUUGUGGCGAAUUUGGUAUAUGCCAGGAUAAUGCUUCUGUCUGUACUUGUUUAAAUGGUUUUCAACCACGAUCACCAAUAGAUUGGAAUUUGAAUGAUUUUUCUGGUGGAUGUAUGAGAAAAACAUCAUUGCAAUGUGGCGAUGAUGACAGGUUUCUGCAGGUGCACCUAGUAAUUGAGACUUCCAAUCAGCGGCUAAACUACGAUAUUGAAACUGCUGAUAAUUGCGAGCAAUCUUGCUUAAAUGACUGUUCUUGCAAUGCUUAUGCUUUUAACACUUCAUGUUUACUUUGGAAUGAAAGUUUAUUUAAUCUACAGCAAUUCCAAGAUAGUGAUGAUGGAAUUAGUAUCCAGCUUAGACUAGCAGCCUCUGAGAUCCCAAGUCCAGAAGGUGAGAACGGGGGAUUGAUUUAUGUAACACAUUUAUGUUCAUUAGUUCAUACUUUCAUUUGCAUUUGCACAGAUGUAUCUAAGAGAAUCCACUCCCAUAUAUCUGCUUUCUUGAUUUUGUCUAAAAAGCAUCUUCGAAACUUCAACACCGAACCCUUUAAUGCAUUUUGUUUCUGGUCUACAGGUAAAAAGACACUAAAGGCUUACAUCAUUGUACUCAUUGUUGGAUCAAUUUUAAUUGGGAUCUUGGGUUGCGGUUUGUUUGCUUAUAAAAUGAAACAAAGAGGUAUAUAGUUUGCUGAAUUAUUCAUUCAUUCCUAUUUUGUGUUGAUCUUUAUUAAUUUUUCUAAUGAUCUGAAAAAUUCAGGUAAAAUCAAAUAUAAAAGUAGAGAAACAUCACCACCAGUUUUUUCAAUAGAUCAGGAAUCAGAACAAGGCAAGUUAGAACUACCAUCAUUUGACCUCAGUACAAUUGCAGCGGCCACAAACAAUUUCUCAAAUAAGCUUGGGCAGGGAGGGUUUGGUUCUGUUUAUAAGGUAAUAUUCAAUUUCAAUCACCUUGGUUAAGUAUGGGUCUGAAAUGCUACAAUAUAUAACUUUCAAGUUAUGAAUAUGAAUAUAUUCUUUUUUAAUCAUUGCGUGACAGAAACUUUGGUUGCCUCAUAACGCAAUUGGACAACUUACAAGUGUGUCCAUCUACAACUUUCAAAUUCUAUAGAUGGUCCGUUUACUGUUAGCUCAGCUUAUAAACUCGAGGAACACAUUUGAGUCAAUGACACACACAAUCCCUCUGACAUUUACUGUGAAAGAUUGCAUGUUGUUAAUGAGAGUGGACAAUUAUAUGCAUCUAAGGCUUUGAAAAGUUAAAGCACUCUUUACAUAAUACACAGAACGAAAGAGGUGGUAGAGAUGCAAUGCUUCUCAUGUUCUUCAACUAUUCUAGUGGUUGCAAAACUUGAAGAGUUCUGCAUCCAGUUUGUAGUCCACACUAGGUGCCUCUGCCAUGAUAGCAAACCCUGAAGUAUACUUUAGCUGCUUUUUGUAAUUUUGUCGUUGACACAACUUUUUUUCCAGGGUAACCUGCAAGAUGAACGUGAGAUUGCAGUGAAAAGAUUAUCGAGAAGCUCCGGCCAAGGUGUAGAAGAAUUUAAGAAUGAGCUCAUGCUGAUAUCCAAACUUCAACACAGGAAUCUUGUUAGGCUUCUAGGUUACUGCAUCGAUAGAGAAGAGAAAAUUUUACUGUAUGAGUACAUGCCUAACAAAAGUUUGGAUGCCUUUCUCUUUGGUAUGUCUCAACAUUUGUGUUUUAUCUAUUAUUAUUAUUAUUAUUUAAAAAACACCAAUUUGGUAAGAAAUUAUCAACAUAAUUUGGAUCAUUCAUAUUUGAUUGACUAAUAAACUCAACAUGGAGCCAUUUCUUUCAUUAGUACUCCUAGCCAUAGUCCGUAUAGCUUAUAAAUUUUCACUUUGGAUGGCAUGCUAGUUGGUGUGGAAUGAAUCACCUUGCUGGUCAAUCAUCUUACUUGGUCUAGGUGCCUUUCUGUUCACCCUCAUGGACUAUUAAUCAAGAUAAUUAAGCGUUCCCAUUACAUAUUGUGUUAAAUAUUAGAUCAUUUGAGCCACAUGUUUGCAUCACUUAUUUUUUGUAGUGUAAUGUAAGCUAACUAAUUCAAACAAGUAUGAAAAUCAGAUCCUAACAGAAAAGUUCUGUUGGAUUGGAGUAAACGCUUCAACAUUAUUGAUGGUAUUGCACGAGGCCUUCUUUAUCUACACCGUGAUUCUCGACUCAAAGUGAUUCAUCGAGAUUUGAAGGCCAGUAACAUUCUUUUGGAUGAGGAUAUGAUUCCUAAAAUAUCAGACUUCGGAAUGGCAAGGAUUUUUGGUGGAAAGCAGACAUUGGCAAACACUAAUAGAGUUGUUGGGACAUAGUGAGUGCUUUUAGUAAUGAAUAUGGAUUAUAGUUAUUUUUGGCAUACACUAGGUUCAAGUAUGUGUUUAUAAUCAUUCCUCAAGAUGAGUAAUUUUUUUCACAAUUAUAAAUGUAGUGGAUACAUGUCACCUGAGUAUGCCAUGGAAGGGACAUUUUCUGAGAAAUCUGAUGUGUUCAGCUUUGGAGUCAUGCUCCUAGAGAUUGUGAGCAGUAAGAAGAAUAGCAACUUCUAUUUCCUUGAAGAAUCAUAUAAUCUCUUAGGCUAUGUAAGUACACACUUUUUGUACGUAGAAUUUGCAGUUUAAUACUAGCUUGUACAUUAGAUUAAAUAUUGGUAACGAUGUUUUGCAGGUAUGGCGAAAGUGGAAUGAGAAUAAGGUGUUGGAGAUAAUGGAUCCAACAUUGUCCGACUCAUAUAAUAUACAAGAAUUGAAGAGAUGCAUCCAUAUAGGUCUUCUCUGUGUGCAAGACCAUGUCCUUGAUAGGCCAACCAUGUCUACAAUAGUUUUCAUGCUUGGUAGUGAGGGAACUCUUCCUCUUCCUAAGCAACCUGCAUUUACUCUAGAAAGGGAGCAGUUGUCUGACAUUCUUGUUAAUAUCGCCGAUGCAGUAUCUAUAAAUUAUG
rnacentral:lncRNA from 1 species